rnacentral:rRNA from 1 species
UGACCGCUGGCGGCGUGCCUACUACAUGCAAGUCGAGCGAACGGACGAGAAGCUUGCUUCUCUGAUGUUAGCGGCGGACGGGUGAGUAACACGUGGAUAACCUACCUAUAAGACUGGGAUAACUUCGGGAAACCGGAGCUAAUACCGGAUAAUAUUUUGAACCGCAUGGUUCAAAAGUGAAAGACGGUCUUGCUGUCGCUUAUAGCUGGAUCCGCGGUGCAUUAGCUAGUUGGUAGGGUAACGGCUUACCAAGGCAACGAUGGAUAGCCGACCUGGGAGGGUGACCGGCGACAUUGGGACUGAGAUACGGACCAGACUCCUACGGGAGGCAGCAGUGGGGAAUAUUGCACAAUGAGGCGAAGCCUGAUGCAGCAACGCCGCGUGCGGGAUGACGGCCUUCGGGUUGUAAACCGCUUUCGCCUGUGACGAAGCGUGAGUGACGGUAAUGGGUAAAGAAGCACCGGCUAACUACGUG